UACGGAGGGUGCGAGCGUUAAUCGGAAUUACUGGGCGUAAAGGGUGCGUAGGUGGUUGAUUAAGUUAUCUGUGAAAUCCCCGGGCUCAACCUGGGCAGGUCAGAUAAUACUGGUUAACUCGAGUAUGGGAGAGGGUAGUGGAAUUUCCGGUGUAGCGGUGAAAUGCGUAGAGAUCGGAAGGAACACCAGUGGCGAAGGCGGCUACCUGGCCUAAUACUGACACUGAGGUACGAAAGCGUGGGGAGCAAACAGG
rnacentral:rRNA from 1 species